rnacentral:lncRNA from 1 species
CGCACCCGAGAGCGCCGCCGCCGGUAAGCUCCGUUUUUCUGUGAUUUUUUGGCCCCCCGAGGGCCCUAGGGUUGUUUUCUCAUAGGGACCGAUGCGAGUGUGGCCGAAUUCGGCCGAAAACAGCCAACCCGAGGUGACUCGCCGCCGCCAGCGGCGGCGCCGUCGCCGGAGCACGGCGGAGCCGCCGUGCCGGAGUUGCGAUUUGGGCCGAA